AACGAACGCUGGCGGCAGGCUUAACACAUGCAAGUCGAACGCAUCCUUCGGGGUGAGUGGCAGACGGGUGAGUAACGCGUGGGAACGUGCCCUUCAGUUCGGGAUAACCCAGGGAAACUUGGGCUAAUACCGGAUGCGUGCGAGAGCAGAAAGAUUUAUCGCUGAAGGAUCGGCCCGCGUCUGAUUAGCUAGUUGGUGGGGUAAUGGCCCACCAAGGCGACGAUCAGUAGCUGGUCUGAGAGGAUGAUCAGCCACAUUGGGACUGAGACACGGCCCAAACUCCUACGGGAGGCAGCAGUGGGGAAUAUUGGACAAUGGGCGCAAGCCUGAUCCAGCCAUGCUGCGUGAGUGAUGAAGGCCUUAGGGUUGUAAAGCUCUUUCGUCCGGGACGAUAAUGACGGUACCGGAAGAAGAAGCCCCGGCUAACUUCGUGCCAGCCGCCGCGGUAA
rnacentral:rRNA from 1 species